AAGGAGUUGCGCAUCAUUUUCAGUGUCACUAUAGGCAUCUUCCAAAACUGUUUCUCUGAAAUCAUCUGCAGUUUCUUCAGUGUGUCCAACACCAAGAAACACAGCACAGAUUGCGACCAGCAAGGCUAGAAUUGUCCAACUCUUCAUCGUGAUGGCUAACUCGAUUCCCUCUGCUUAGCUUGGCUGUUUUCUCGCGCUUUUAUGCGUACCGAAGGUGCGAGGUAGCCAAAAAAGAGAUAAAAG